CGAUAGUCCCGAAGCUUCGGGAGAAAUCCUUUCUAGUCCUGAACUUGUUUCAGGAUCCUGAAACAAGUUCAGGACUAGAAAGAUUGUAAUGUACAGCGGGACGAGUC
rnacentral:sRNA from 1 species